rnacentral:rRNA from 1 species
GGUGCAUGGUUGUCGUCAGCUCGUGUCGUGAGAUGUUGGGUUAAGUCCGCAACGAGCGCAACCCUUAUCGUUAGUUGCUACCAUUAAGUUGAGCACUCUAGCGAGACUGCCCGGGUUAACCGGGAGGAAGGUGGGGAUGACGUCAAAUCAUCAUGCCCCUUAUGUCUAGGGCUACACACGUGCUACAAUGGUGAGGACAAAGAGACGCAAGACCGCGAGGUGGAGCAAAUCUCACAAACCUCAUCCCAGUUCGGAUUGCAGGCUGAAACUCGCCUGCAUGAAGCCGGAGUUGCUAGUAAUCGCGAAUCAGCAUGUCGCGGUGAAUACGUUCCCGGGCCUU